GACGAACGCUGGCGGCGUGCUUAACACAUGCAAGUCGAGCGGUAAGGCCCUUUCGGGGGUACACGAGCGGCGAACGGGUGAGUAACACGUGCGUGACCUGCCCUCAGCUCUGGGAUAAGCCUGGGAAACUGGGUCUAAUACCGGAUAUGACUCCAUGACGCAUGUUGUGGGGUGGAAAGCCUUGUGCGGCUGAGGAUGGGCCCGCGGCCUAUCAGCUUGUUGGUGGGGUGAUGGCCUACCAAGGCGACGACGGGUAGCCGGCCUGAGAGGGCGACCGGCCACACUGGGACUGAGACACGGCCCAGACUCCUACGGGAGGCAGCAGUGGGGAAUCUUGCGCAAUGGGCGAAAGCCUGACGCAGCGACGCCGCGUGAGGGAUGACGGCCU
rnacentral:rRNA from 1 species